ensembl:lncRNA UBE2Q2P1 UBE2Q2 pseudogene 1
GGUGAGAGUAAAAUGUCCGUGUCAGGGUUCAAGGCCAAGCUGAAGUUGUUGUCCUCUAUUUUCCACAAGAACCAGGAGCCGCCGCGGCAGCUCAGGCUCCACUGCAACAUCACGUCAGGUUUUCCUUGUUCCCGCAUGUUCAGCCAAUCGUGUUUAAGGAGAAACUAACAAUGAAAACGGGCUUGUUGAUGGAGGAAAAGUUGGAAUGCAGCCUCUGGUGCUGUUUGAGCGAUCCCUCUAUCCCGGGUCGCUGCUGUGUUCUGGAAAGGCACAUUGUACCCUGGAUGCAGCAGCUUCAUCAGCAAUGGAAGUGGCUGAUAUGUGGACUCUGCAGAUUAUAUAACCUUCCUAAGCACCCGAAUGUUGAGAUGCCAGAUCAACCACUACCCAUGGGUCAGAAUGGGACAACAGAAGAAGUGACUUCAAAAGAAGAGGAAGAAGAAGAGAUGGAUGAAGAUAUAGAAGACUUAGAUCACUGUGAGAUGAAAGAAGAGCCUACUAGUGAGAAGAAGUUGGAGGAUGAAGGAACUGAAAAAGAAAACUGGGCAAUAUUAGAGAAAAUUAGGAAGACUGAAAGGCAAGGCCAUUUAAAUGU